GGGUCAGUAGGUUGGUCGUGCCACCGGUACGUACUGGUCUCACUGACUCCUCCUUCCUGAAGAACCGUAAUGCCAUUAAUUUGGUGUUGCGGGGAAACAGGACUGUUACUUUGAAAAAAUUAGAGUGUUUAAAGCAAGCUAACGCUUGAAUACAUUAGCAUGGAAUAAUGAAAUAGGACGAUCGAUCCUAUUUUGUUGGUUUCUAGGAUUGACGUA
rnacentral:rRNA from 1 species